rnacentral:sRNA from 1 species
GGGCAACACCCUGUUCAAGCUACACAUAGAGGAGCCGUGAGCAACUCUCUGAUGCUGUGUAUCCUAAAGUUGGCUUCCCAGAUGCCACUGGAGAACACCACGGUUCAGCAGAUGGUUUUUAUGCUUCUUUCAAACCUGGCCUUGUCACAUGACUGUAAAGGAGUAAUUCAGAAGAGUAACUUCUUACAGAACUUCCUCUCUCUAGCAUUGCCGAAAGGAGGAAAUAAACAUCUCAGUAAUCUGACUAUUCUUUGGUUGAAGUUACUCCUGAAUAUAUCAUUUGGAGAAGAUGGACAACAAAUGAUUCUGAGGCUUGAUGGCUGUCUAGACUUACUAACAGAGAUGAGCAAAUACAAGCACAAGAGCAGCCCUUUAUUGCCUCUUCUUAUCUUUCAUAAUGUUUGCUUCAGUCCUGCUAAUAAACCCAAGAUCCUGGCUAAUGAAAAAGUCAUUACUGUGCUUGCUGCCUGUCUGGAAAGUGAGAAUCAAAAUGCUCAGAGGAUUGGAGCAGCUGCGCUUUGGGCUCUGAUAUACAAUUAUCAGAAGGUCAGUUUUAAAAAUCAUUGUUACACCUGGGGAGCAAACAACGAGGUAUAACCCAGGUAUAAACUCUUAGGAUACAUCCAAAGGUGUCAAGAGUUACAGCAAAAGAAAAAAGACAAAAUCAAAGACCCGUGUUCCCUUUGCUCAUUCAUACAAUUAGUAAACCAUCAGUUGAAAUCUUUUUAUUUAAUCAUUUCAACAGAAUGUCUCAGUUUAGAAGAGAAUCUCUGAACUGACUUUUUCCUCUUAAUUUAAAUUGAUUUACUGUAUUAUUGCAAUUUUAGUAUAGAUUGUUUCUUCUAAAAGAUGUAUCAAGGGAAAACACAUCUUAAAGUAAAACUGAGUAACAAAAGUUUUAUCCAGUUGUACAAUUCCCCUUUCUCUAGCUCAGUUCUUGUAAGACUGCAGCACAAAGCCUGCUCUGAGAAAAGGGCAGGCAACGUGGAGAUUUGUGUUCUACUCUUUCUCUGGCCUUUGGACUUCUGCUUUAUUGCAGACAUCUCAUUCCUAAGAGAAAUACCCAUAAGUAUCUAGUGAUUAAAUAGUAGCCAAGUGACAGUGUUAGGAUAGACAGCCAUCCUAGAACGGUGUUCUCUCAGCUGACUGUCUCUGCCUGGGCUAGUUUUCUCCCUGCUGGCCAGAGUCACGUACACAAGGACAAGAGGCUGUUGUUUUCUUUCUCACCUGGGUAUCCCCAGAGCUUAGCACAGGAUUUGGCACUUUGUAGUUACUCCAUAAAUAUUUGUUGGCCAACUGCUAACAUUUGGUAUACGUGAUCAGAAAUCUGAGGUUCGAGGGAAUAUGAAAAACUGAAACCAAGUUUGACUAGUUUAAAAUAGCAAAUUGAGAUUGGGGGAGAAGGAGUAAAAGAGAAGGGAAGAAAGAAAAUGGGAAUAGAGAAAGAAUCAAGUUAGAUAAGAGGAUAUGGGCAAGACUUCAGAAUGUGCAAGGGGAUUGGCUCAAUAGGAUGUAUUAUACCAAGAUAGAACUCUCUAGUUAUAUUAUUAUAUUUCAUAAUAUUCUGUUUAAUACUGUAGUUAGCAAUGGGCAGAAUUAGUGUUUUGCUAUCAUGAUCCAUAACACAUGGCAAGAAACCUAAUUAAUGGAUUGUUCUAGGCAAAAACAGCUUUGAAAAGCCCAUCAGUAAAAAGAAGAGUGGAUGAAGCAUACUCCUUAGCAAAGAAAACUUUCCCAAACUCAGAAGCAAACCCUCUAAAUGCCUAUUACUUGAAAUGUCUUGAAAACCUCGUGCAACUCCUUAAUUCUUCCUGAGUGCCAUGAGAUGCUACACCUUGAAGCUGACAGUCAUCAACAGGGGAGCUAAAGUUGAAGCCAGCUGUGUGUAGCAGCUGUUACCUGAAGACAUGCUACCUCUCUACAAAGUGUUGAUCCCCUUCUUUCCCAUCAGAGAGAGAACUGGUGAUACUCCAACACCGUCCGGUCGUGGCAGCUCUCCAGAAGUAAUAGCAGCUGACAAGUUUCUGUGCCUUUUCCUUUCUGUUGAAAAGGCAUAGAAAGUUCUGGGAACAUAAACAUUUUUACCCUUUUCUAUGCCAUUUAUUUUGUAAAAAUCCUAUUUAACAGUUAUUUAAU